CACACUCUGCAUUCACUACACACCAACACACUCACUGCAUCCACUACACUGACACACACUCUGCAUUCGCUACACAUUAACACACUCUGCAUUCAAUACACUAACACACUCUCUGCAUCCGCUACACACUAACACACUCUCUGCAUUCACUACACAUUAACACGCUGCAUUCACUACACUAACACACACUCUGCAUCCUCUACACACUAACACACUCUCUGCAUUCACUACACAUUAACACACUCUGCAUUCACUACAC